rnacentral:lncRNA from 1 species
GCCAUCGGUACAACUCAAAAACUGUACAAGUACAUACAUGAAACUCAGAAUAUAACAUAAAUUAAACUAACUACAACCCGUCGUUUGUCUCCAUGUCAUUGAGUCGGCGGUCAUCACCCUGUACUGGAGGAGGCUGCUCCUCAUCAAUUCGACGGUCAUCGUCCUGUACUGGAGAAGGCUGCUCGUCAUCAGCUCGACGGUCA